rnacentral:rRNA from 1 species
UACGGAGGGUGCAAGCGUUAUCCGGAUUCACUGGGUUUAAAGGGUGCGUAGGUGGGCUGGUAAGUCCGUGGUGAAAUCUCCAAGCUUAACUUGGAAACUGCCGUGGAUACUAUUAGUCUUGAAUCUCGUGGAGGUAAGCGGAAUAUGUCAUGUAGCGGUGAAAUGCUUAGAUAUGACAUAGAACACCGAUAGCGAAGGCAGCUUGCUACACGAGUAUUGACACUGAGGCACGAAAAGCGUGGGGGAUCAAACAGGAUUAG